CAGACCUGAUCAGCUGGUGACUGCUCUAUGAAGUGCUGUUCAACCUCCCCUAAGGGGGAGAUUCGAGGGGGUCUCCUGAUUGCUGAACACUACGCCAUGGUUGUUGUCAUCUCCAAAAAGUUUGCCCUGCCCAUAUCAACAGUGGAAGAGAACAUGAGAUGGGCCUUGAGGAGGCUUCGUGUCAUGUACUGCGGGGAGAAUAUAUAAACUGUUUAGUGCUGAGCAAUAUGUUCCUUUGUUCAUAGGUGUAAAUAUGUGUAAAGGGCUAUUCCAGGAAAAGAUAGGAUGAAGGAUUCCUUAAUGUUUCAUUUUAUAAAUCCGGUACCACCAACACAGUUAAAAACAAUUAUUAUUAAUUUUAUCCUCUGUAUCACCCCUCACUAACUGAAACUGUAUAUAAUCAUGGUUCAUACCCUUCCUCCCAUUUUUACCUGUGGUAGCCCAAAGAGGAGAAUGUUAUUUAUUUUAAUUUAUUAUGUUAAAUGUGCUCGCAUAUUGUGAUAAUGUAUCUUGGGUAGAUGUUUUCCUGGUUUUGUUAAAAAUGCACUGUAAAAAUGUUCACAUUAUUUGUUUUUUUUAAUAUAAACAUUGUUUUUUGCAAA